rnacentral:rRNA from 1 species
GGGCACCUUCGGGAGCCUGAGUAAAGUGGCGAACGGGUGAGUAGCACGUGGGUGACCUGCCCAAUGGAGGGGGAUAACCCGGGGAAACUCGGGCUAAAACCGCAUAAGCCUUUGGGGUCAAAGUCAAAGGGAAAGGGGUAAGGCCUUCGGGUCUUAUCUUGCCGAAGGAGGGGCCCGCGUCCCAUUAGCUAGUUGGUGGGGUAAAGGCCUACCAAGGCUUCGAUGGGUAGCCGGUCUGAGAGGACGGACGGCCACACUGGAACUGAGACACGGUCCAGACUCCUACGGGAGGCAGCAGUGGGGAAUUUUGGGCAAUGGGCGAAAGCCUGACCCAGCAACGCCGCGUGGAGGACGAAGGCCUUCGGGUCGUAAACUCCUGUCCUAGGGGAAGAAAAAAAUGACGGUACCCUUGGAGGAAGCCCCGGCUAACUCCGUGCCAGCAGCCGCGGUAAGACGGGGGGGGCGAGCGUUGUUCGGAAUUACUGGGCGUAAAGGGCGCGUAGGCGGCCUGGGAAGUCUUGGGUGAAAGCCCCCAGCUCAACUGGGGAAUGGCCUGAGAAACCACUGGGCUGGAGUGCUGGAGAGGGAAGCGGA